rnacentral:rRNA from 4 species
CGGCUCACCAAGGCAAUGAUACGUAGCCGAACUGAGAGGUUGAUCGGCCACAUUGGGACUGAGACACGGCCCAAACUCCUACGGGAGGCAGCAGUAGGGAAUCUUCCACAAUGGACGCAAGUCUGAUGGAGCAACGCCGCGUGAGUGAAGAAGGCUUUCGGGUCGUAAAACUCUGUUGUUGGAGAAGAAUGGUCGGCAGAGUAACUGUUGUCGGCGUGACGGUAUCCAACCAGAAAGCCACGGCUAACUACGUGCCAGCAGCCGCGGUAAUACGUAGGUGGCAAGCGUUAUCCGGAUUUAUUGGGCGUAAAGCGAGCGCAGGCGGUUUUUUAAGUCUGAUGUGAAAGCCCUCGGCUUAACCGAGGAAGUGCAUCGGAAACUGGGAAACUUGAGUGCAGAAGAGGACAGUGGAACUCCAUGUGUAGCGGUGAAAUGCGUAGAUAUAUGGAAGAACACCAGUGGCGAAGGCGGCUGUCUGGUCUGUAACUGACGCUGAGGCUCGAAAGCAUGGGUAGCGAACAGGAUUAGAUACCCUGGUAGUCCAUGCCGUAAACGAUGAAUGCUAGGUGUUGGAGGGUUUCCGCCCUUCAGUGCCGCAGCUAACGCAUUAAGCAUUCCGCCUGGGGAGUACGACCGCAAGGUUGAAACUCAAAGGAAUUGACGGGGGCCCGCACAAGCGGUGGAGCAUGUGGUUUAAUUCGAAGCAACGCGAAGAACCUUACCAGGUCUUGACAUCUUUUGAUCACCUGAGAGAUCAGGUUUCCCCUUCGGGGGCAAAAUGACAGGUGGUGCAUGGUUGUCGUCAGCUCGUGUCGUGAGAUGUUGGGUUAAGUCCCGCAACGAGCGCAACCCUUAUGACUAGUUGCCAGCAUUUAGUUGGGCACUCUAGUAAGACUGCCGGUGACAAACCGGAGGAAGGUGGGGAUGACGUCAAAUCAUCAUGCCCCUUAUGACCUGGGCUACACACGUGCUACAAUGGAUGGUACAACGAGUUGCGAGACCGCGAGGUCAAGCUAAUCUCUUAAAGCCAUUCUCAGUUCGGACUGUAGGCUGCAACUCGCCUACACGAAGUCGGAAUCGCUAGUAAUCGCGGAUCAGCACGCCGCGGUGAAUACGUUCCCGGGCCUUGUACACACCGCCCGUCACACCAUGAGAGUUUGUAACACCCGAAGCCGGUGGCGUAACCCUUUUAGGGAGCGAGCCGUCUAAGGUGGGACAAAUGAUUAGGGUGAAGUCGUAACAAGGUAGCCGUAGGAGAA